rnacentral:lncRNA from 1 species
UGUAGCAAUUGAUAACGAACAUGAACGAGCUUGCCAAAUUGUGAAGCUUACAUUCUGACCUACUCUUUCAACAAAUGCGCCACUUACAGAUAAUACGUAUAAUGAUUCUUUUCUUUUUCUAGUACAAACAAUAUCAGCUGCAAUUGGCUUCACAUUAGAAAUAACCUGCACAUCGUCUAGAUAAAAAAGAACAUACAUUCCUGAAUCCACUAUUUGAGAAACUGAUGCAAGAUCUUUGUUUUAAGCUCGGAACAUGAUAUACAUCUUUGAGAAAAAUGCCUCCAUCAUUAGAGUUAUCUUCUCUAAAAUGUCCUCCUUUCAUUAUAAGAUGUAAUGAAUUAUCAGCUGUCACAAUGAACUUUUCCCAAAAUGCGGACGAACAUCAGAUUAUACACAUCAUUUCCCGUUACAUGAUGAGAACACCUAGAAUCAGCAAUCCAUUCAUUAUUGUAGUCAAUGAAAACAUUUACAUCUGUAAGUGCAUCAAUCUGGUGCACAACAGAAGUCACAUUUUUUGGUUGAUCAAUAACUUCAAUGGCUAAGCACUUCUCCCAAUCUGGUUCUUCAUAUCACUUUCAUGUACAACAUUUGCUCCCAUUUCCUUCAAAUUAACACGACAAUUUGAUUUGAUAAGGCUUGACUUUUCAGAUCGAUUAACUCUACUUUCAACCGACAAUCACGCUUGAUGUGUCCCAACUUUUCACACCUAUAACGGCAUUUGAAUUUUCCUUAAGCUGUUCCUCAAUUUUGAACUAGUUUCUAUUGCCUACAAAAUGCUUUGAUAAUGAAUUCCUCUCUCUUGGUCCUUGAUGAAAAGAUCAUCCUCUACUUGAUGAAGUUGUCUACUGCUGGACAUUUGUUUCACCAGUACUUCUUGAUUUGAGAGCAUAUUUUCCAACUCAAUGAUAAUAGGUUGAUUUGCCCACCCUUGUACCAAAGAGAUAAAGGGCAUAAACUCUUUUUAAGGUCAACAAAUGAGAUAACGACGUAAACGAGCAUUACUCACAAGUUUUUCCAUAUCCAAUUCUAGAAUAUCAUAACAGAAGGUUUUGAGCUUUAAAAUAUUCUGAAAUUUAAAUUUUACCUUGAGGCAUCCCAGCAAGUUCAUUCUCCAAAUUCUGCAGCCUCAUCAUGUUCUUUUGAGUGAAUAACCUUUCAAGUGUCUCCCACACUUUCUUUGGCAACUUCUCAUCACGAACAUGCUCGAUGUACUCUUUACUAAUUGAUGUUUGUAAAGCAAAUAAAGCUUUGCCACACUUUACCUUCCAUCUCCUCCUCAAAUCAGCAUUAUGUGGUGUAUCUUCAAGAAUUACAUCAUCACCGGAGAUAAGUAACUACAGAUCCUACCCUUUAAGAUAAGCUUCCAUGCAUAGCUUCCAGUAACUAUAAGUGUUAAUGACAAUCUUGUCUACAAAGACACUGCUACGAGUAAUAGAAUCAAACACUUGAUAGGCAACUUGGCUCUGAUACCAUGUAACAAGGUAUGACAGAAAAUAGAAA